rnacentral:rRNA from 1 species
UACAGAGGGUGCGAGCGUUAAUCGGAAUUACUGGGCGUAAAGGGCGCGUAGGCGGCCUUUCUAAGUCGAACGUGAAAUCCCUGGGCUCAACCCAGGAACUGCGUCCGAUACUGGCAGGCUUGAAUCCGGGAGAGGGAUGUGGAAUUCCAGGUGUAGCGGUGAAAUGCGUAGAUAUCAGGAGGAACACCAACGGCGAAGGCAGCUCGCUGGGACGGUACUGACGCUGAGGCGCGAAAGCGUGGGGAGCGAACAGG